ACCGUGGCUUUAGAUUGUUACUGUGGUUGUGUGUUGGUAACAGUCUACAGCCAUGGUCG
rnacentral:pre_miRNA from 1 species